rnacentral:rRNA from 1 species
GUUAUAUGGUCAAGUGAAGAAGCGCAUACGGUGGAUGCCUUGGCAGUCAGAGGCGAUGAAAGACGUGGUAGCCUGCGAAAAGCUUCGGGGAGUCGGCAAACAGACUUUGAUCCGGAGAUCUCUGAAUGGGGGAACCCACCUAGGAUAACCUAGGUAUCUUGUACUGAAUCCAUAGGUGCAAGAGGCGAACCAGGGGAACUGAAACAUCUAAGUACCCUGAGGAAAAGAAAUCAACCGAGAUUCCCUUAGUAGUGGCGAGCGAACGGGGAUUAGCCCUUAAGCUUCAUUGAUUUUAGCGGAACGCUCUGGAAAGUGCGGCCAUAGUGGGUGAUAGCCCCGUACGCGAAAGGAUCUUUGAAGUGAAAUCGAGUAGGACGGAGCACGAGAAACUUUGUCUGAACAUGGGGGGACCAUCCUCCAAGGCUAAAUACUACUGACUGACCGAUAGUGAACCAGUACCGUGAGGGAAAGGCGAAAAGAACCCCGGAGAGGGGAGUGAAAUAGAACCUGAAACCGUAUGCGUACAAGCAGUGGGAGCCUACUUGUUAGGUGACUGCGUACCUUUUGUAUAAUGGGUCAGCGACUUAUAUUCAGUGGCAAGCUUAACCGUAUAGGGUAGGCGUAGCGAAAGCGAGUCUUAAUAGGGCGUUUAGUCGCUGAGACCCGAAA